UCUUCGGCCAUCGCCAUCCUCCCCGGGCGGGAGGAAGCCGGAGGCCGGCCGGCGGUGGCUGCCAUUGGCCGGGGAGCGGCGGCGGCAGCUGCAGGACACAAUUAAUUAUGCUAAUGGCGUGGGGAGCGGAUGUACUUUCUUCCCCCCUUUAUUCCCCGCUCUGUUUUUGGCUGGUCGGUGCGGGAAGGAGCCGCCCUGGCCGCGAUCACAUGAUAUUGUCUUCGCGCCACUUUCGUAAAACCCUUUUUAUUCCAGGGCUGCGCUCGGGCUCAAAGGUACCACUGGCUCCCGAGCUUCAGUCAAGGCGCUUGUGUGAUGCUGUGGCUGUGCUGAAACAAGAAGAGCUUUUAAAGAAGAGUGUGUCUCUGGUGAUGAUGGGCCUUGAGUUGUGCAAAAGUGCUUACAGUGCAGGUAGAGUUCAGGAUCUACUGCAGUAUAAGCACUUCUGGCAUUACUGUGGCGAUGCGGUGAUGGUAGCGGGGCAUGGACGUAACCAGGAUUGUUGUUUGGCCACCUUAGGGCUGCAUUGUGAACGGUUCUUGUGUUAAGGUGCAUCUAGUGCAGUUAGUGAAGUAGCGUAGAAUCUACUGCCCUAAAUGCUCCUUCUGGCACAAGCUGCUGCCUGCACAUCCAGAACACCCCCAGUGCAUCCAUCUGGCUCUAGCCCAGCAAGUUCUAGUUCAAGUGGUGCUGUUAUUGAAGGCACUGCUCGGGAAGUAGUUUUGUCCUAGCAGUAUCAAAGUGCUCAUAGUGCAGGUAGCUUGGAAUUGGACCUACUGUAAUGUGGGCACUUACAGUACUGCUAGAUAAAGCGCAUCCUUAGCUAGGGGCAGGCUCUGGAGAAGAUGGUGCUGAUUACAGUCAGUUUUGCAGGUUUGCAUCCCAGCUUGCUAAGAUCGCUGUGCAAAUCCAUGCAAAACUGACUGUGGUGGUGGUGAAUCUGUGGUGGAUGAUGGGGUUUGAAGCUUCCCUUCCUCCCCUCUCUUUUUGUGUUCCAUGGAAGAUGUGAAGGUGCCUUGCGCUGGUUUCUCCAUGGGUGGGGAUUUGUUGCAUUACUUGUAGCUAUAUGUAGAGUAUUGCACUUGUCCCGGCCUGUGGAGGAAAGGAGGACUUGUCUUCAGGCUGCGCUGCCCCGACCCGGCCAGCGCUUUGCUGAGCUCUGUUUUGCUGUUGUCGGGUGGAUCACGAUGCAAUUUUGAUUAGUUUGGUAGGAGAAAAAUUGCACGGUAUCCAUCUGUAAACCGCAGGACCUUCAUCGCUGACAGCGUUGCUCUUGUCAGUCCUCACUUCCCACAGCGGAGGCUGUAGGCAUUGGGAUGGCUCGCUGGUGACUCCGCAGCUUGAAGGGAUGGGAACAAAGAAACUUCUCCAGAUGCUGAGGUUUGUCUACCAUGGAAAGGGAAUAAAA